rnacentral:rRNA from 1 species
GUGCCAGCAGCCGCGGUAAGACGAACCGUGCGAACGUUGUUCGGAAUCACUGGGCUUAAAGGGCGCGUAGGCGGGCCGCAAAGUCAGGGGUGAAAUCCUCCAGCUCAACUGGAGAACUGCCUCUGAUACUGGCGGUCUUGAGUGGGGUAGGGGCAUGCGGAACAAUGGGUGGAGCGGUGAAAUGCGUUGAUAUCCAUUGGAACUCCGGUGGCGAAAGCGGCGUGCUGGACCUCUACUGACGCUGAGGCGCGAAAGCCAGGGGAGCAAACGGGAUUAGAAACCCCGGUAGUCC